CUCCUCUUAGGAUGGCAUCUGGAGAGUUUCCAGUACUCUGCCAGUCUUGGCUACGGGAGGGAGAGUCAAACAGAGGCAUACCCAGUCCAUUCCUAGCUUGGGCAGUGGCUGGCGAGGGGAAGGCAAUCUGCUGCAAGU